UACGAAGGGGGCUAGCGUUGCUCGGAAUCACUGGGCGUAAAGCGCACGUAGGCGGGUUCUUAAGUCAGGGGUGAAAUCCUGGAGCUCAACUCCAGAACUGCCUUUGAUACUGGGAAUCUCGAGUCCGGGAGAGGUGAGUGGAACUGCGAGUGUAGAGGUGAAAUUCGUAGAGAUCGGGUGGAACACCAGUGGCGAAGGCGCCUGUCUGGCUGACAACUGACGCUGAGACUCGAAAGCAUGGGGAGCAAACAGG
rnacentral:rRNA from 1 species